GCGAUCUGGCGACCUGACGCAUGCCGCCACUACUGUUCACCUUGCGGAGCCGAACCCAAGGUAUUGCUCACCACGAGAAGGUCCUAGGGUUCGUUGCUAUUUGGUCCCAAAUAGGUGGUGACCAUCAUAGAGGUGUUGCCCCACAUUUAGGAUAACCACUUUAUUUGACCCUACAUCAUCUAAAGGUGCCAAGUACCGCCAAGCGGUUCAUUAUAGUGUUUGGUGACCAAAAAGGCACCAACGUACUUUUGGCGACUCCGCUGGGGACGAAAAAUCGGAUCUAUCAAAUCCGAUCCAUUAGAUCAGAUCUAUUAAAUUAGACCUAUCAGAUCGGUCGCAAUGGCUAAUCCCAAAGAUCACAACAAUGUCGUCCUAGACAUUAACACAAGGCUGACUAACUCGCCGGCCAAUGAGGAUGAGAAAUUAGAAGACCACAUGAAAAGGCUGGACGAGGAAUUGCAACGACAACAGGCUCAGAUAAGCAAGGUGGCGAAAAAGUGGUACCUCUCGCACUUCAAGGUAGAUCACCACCAGAAGGUCGUCAAGAAGAGGGAAGUAAAGUACGAUUCACUGUCAGCCUUCCUGCAUCAGCUCCCCAUUGUAAGUAACACCACGCCAUUAGCCGAUAUUCAAUCUGUUAAAAUUUCUUUUGAUAAUCAGAUUAAAAUUAUAAUGGAGGAUAUAGAGAAUAUGACACAUGCAUUGGAAAAUACGCAUACACCUGAUUUUUUGUCACAUAAAUUGGGCACUAAAAUAACUGCGUCAAAAACAUCGGCGACAAAUGAGGCUUCUCAGUCCCAACCAUAUUUUGGUAUGUCGAUGGACUCAUAUCCAGGACGACCGUCACCACCAUCUUCGCUAAAUGGUGAGCCAACUCUGAGCACGGCCGGACCGUCCGCACACAAUCGCGGACCGUCCGGCCCUCCGUCAAACCGUCUGGCACCCUACGCCGGACGGUCCGGAGUUACACAGAGUCCACCACAAGGGUCACAGGUGUUGCCUGACGUGACCGGACAGUCCGGGGAUAGUACCGGACCGUCCGGUCCACUCGCAGACCGUCCGACUGCGCAGGUCGGACCGUCCGGAGCAUCAGAAGUCACCUGUGAUCCGCCUAGUGCGGAAGGUCGACAUAAAUAUAACCAGUCACCCAAGCCCCAAGAACCAAAAAAGUCACAUGUCCCUGAGCUUAUUUGGCCCACUAAGGCCAAACCUUCUGUUCGCUUUCACCCGCACUCAACACAAAAGGAAAAAGUUAAGUUCACAUUUAAUAUUACUAAGUGUGAUAAAAUAUUUGAUGAGUUGCUUAAACAUGGUAAUAUUAAAUUGUCACAUGUAAUUCCUCCGGUUGUACAAUUAAAAGGGCGCGUUUAUUGCAAAUGGCAUGGCUCCUUUCUCCAUAACACCAAUGAUUGUGCUGUCUUCCGUCGGCAAAUACAAUCAGCUAUAAACGAAGGUCGGUUGAGGUUUCAAAAAGAGGUGAAAAUUGACAGGCCACCUGUUCCUGUCACCACAUUAGAGCUGACGAGCAAAAAGGCCAUAAUUCGGCCUUAUGCGGCCGAUAAAAGAAAAGAUAAAAAUAUCGUCAUUGGUGAUCCCUGCACACCAAAUAUGUCACGCAGAAUGGUUACUCGGAAGGCUCCGGACACAAGAAAGACUGGAGGCACCGGGGGGCAACCACGAUCGGACACCCGAUCACGGUCACCUGUCAUGUGUACGCCGAACGGUCUAGCUACUAAGGCCGAACAGUCCAAGACAGGAGCGGAUGGUCCGGCUAUAAUGGUCGGACGGUCCGCAGACAGUCAGAAGCAGCAACCUCAGACCAUCAGACCACAAUGUUCCAAAACAAGUGUUAGGAAACAAAAUACUACCGAGACGUCUGGAUGACUCAGUAGAGUCGACCCUACUUUUGGUCAGUUGCUUGCCAAAUAUAUGAAGAAGGUCGUUCCACACAACCGGCCAAUAAAACAGACGAAGUCAAAAGGACGAUCUGUGCGAAAGCAAAAGCCGACCAAACGGACCCAAAAAGUAGCACAACCAAGAUCGCCUUGUCAUCCUCCUCCGGGGAUAGCAUGGUGCGUCCCGUUCUAUCCAUUGCCGAUGUGUUGUCCUGCUCAUGUGUGGGGUGGUAUGGCGAUGAAUUCGUAUUACUGGCCCAAUCCGUUUGCUUAUUUGGGCUAGGGGCACCACAAGUUUUUGCCUAUUGACAGGUUGAUCAGGUAGACAUGGCCGAAGCGGAUGCGGUCCGAAACGGCAUCUGUGCAUUAAAGUUCCAUCAAGUAUUUAUAUUAUCUGAUCGCAAGAGCCGAUGACUUGCAUCGAGCUGAGUCCUUACUUCGGGAACAAAAGCUCAUGAGGUCAAUUGUUUCCGAAGUUUUUGCUAAUGCUUUUGGUUCGCCAAGCUCCACCAAAAGGCAAGGGGGCAUAUGUUGGACACCAAAAUGAGCGGACAGUCCGGCCCUUGGGCCCGGACGGUCCGCGUGUCCCGAGAUUAGAUUAACAUGGAUGUUUAUCCUUAUCUCGUGCAUGGUUAUCCAUCUAAUCCCGUGGGAGUUUGUUGGCUAUCUCUUAGGAAAUGGUCCAGACCUCCUCCCCUAUAAAUAUAAAGGGGUACGACCGAUUGAGAACCCCCGAACACAUUCCAAUCGAACCAAUUACCUUACUUACUUUUCCUGCCCUAGGAGUAGAUGUAGCAUAGUUCUAGUUGUAGCCUUCCGCAUAUCCACCUCCACCCCUAGUCGACUCUACGUCGUCUAGAUCCGUCUUGGGUGGCCUACCGAUCCCAAGACGACCCUAGGAUCUCACCCCUCCCGAGGGGCAAGAUCUAGUUGUCCAUCCAAGACCUCUUCCUCGAUUUGAUCUAUUAAUUCCUAGGCGACUCCACGUCGUCUGGGGACGCCCCGGGUGACCUGUCGACCCGGAGCACCUUAAGAUCUUUUCCCCCCAGGGGACGAGAUCUAGAUUCCAGCAAGGAGGAGGAAGAUGACCCUGUCACCAGGUCGCGGACCGUCCGGCCCAGAGCUGCGGACCGUCCGGUGUGACGCAGGGAAGACACCGCUCCUGCGCCCAGGUCGCGGACCGUCGGCGCCGUCGCAGAGGGCACUACCAGGCGAUCCGGCGACCUGACGCAGGCCGCCACUACUGUUCACCUUGCGGAGCCGAACCCAAGGUAUUGCUCACCACGAGAAGGUCCUAGGGUUCGUUGCUAUUUGGUCCCAAAUAGGUGGUGACCAUCAUAGAGGUGUUGCCCCACAUUUAGGAUAACCACUUUAUUUGACCCUACAUCAUCUAAAGGUGCCAAGUACCGCCAAG
rnacentral:lncRNA from 1 species